AGUGAACGCUGGCGGUAGGCCUAACACAUGCAAGUCGAACGGCAGCACAGUAAGAGCUUGCUCUUACGGGUGGCGAGUGGCGGACGGGUGAGGAAUACAUCGGAAUCUACUUUUUCGUGGGGGGUAACGUAGGGAAACUUACGCUAAUACGGCAUACGACCUACGGGUGAAAGCAGGGGAUCUUCGGCCCUUGCGCGAUUGAAUGAGCCAAUGUCGGAUUAGCUAGUUGGCGGGGUAAAGGCCCACCAAGGCGACGAUCCGUAGCUGGUCUGAGAGGAUGAUCAGCCACACUGGAACUGAGACACGGUCCAGACUCCUACGGGAGGCAGCAGUGGGGAAUAUUGGACAAUGGGCGCAAGCCUGAUCCAGCCAUACCGCGUGGGUGAAGAAGGCCUUCGGGUUGUAAAGCCCUUUUGUUGGGAAAGAAAAUCAGCAGGUUAAUACCCCGCUGUUCUGACGGUACCCAAAGAAUAAGCACCGGCUAACUUCGUG
rnacentral:rRNA from 1 species